rnacentral:rRNA from 1 species
CAGAGGCCUCAAGCGUUAGGCGGAAUCACUGGGCUUAAAGCGCGUGUAGGUGGACUUUUAAGUGCUUUGUGAAAUCCCACGGCUCAACCGUGGAACUGCUGGGCAUACUGGAAGUCUUGGGCCAUCUAGGGGCUAACCGGAACAAGCGGUGGAGCGGUGAAAUGCGUAGAUAUCGCUUGGAACGCCAAAGGUGAAGACAGGUUGCUGGAGAUGUGCCGACACUGAGACGCGAAAGCCAGGGGAGCAAACGGGAUUAGAUACCCCGGUAGUCCUGGCCCUAAACGAUGUCCACUGGAUCGCGGUUCCUUGACGGGAUUCGCGGUCGGAGCAAAAGUGUUAAGUGGACCGCCUGGGAAGUACGGUCGCAAGGCUA